CGAGUACAUACGAGGAAAAUACGACUAGUAAACUUGUUUUUAGUGUUUGUAGAUUGAAUACAGGCAAAAAGAUCGUCUUCCCUGUCGAAAAACGUGAAAUAGACUGAAACCGGCUAUCUUUAAAACCCGGAACGGGGAAUGGGGGAACGGGGAAUGGAGAAACGGGGAAUGGGAGAACGGGAAGUGGAGGAACGGGGAACAGAGGGAAUGGUGGGGCGAGGGGGAAAGGGAGAAAAUAGGAGACAAGGGGCGGGGGAGGUCUGCCAGAUUCUAUAAACCACAACUUUGUAGUUUGUACAACAUCUACUUUUAGGUAUUCUACCUAGAUAGUUAGAUACAUGACACAAACCAUAGGCUUCACAUAUUUCACAGCAUGGUUUGCUUUCAAAACCCUGUGAGCAUGCACAAAACCUAACUCACUAAAUGCAUCUACUUAAAAUAGUACUAGGUGAUAAACUUACAAUCCUCACAUAGCCUCAAUCAUAACAUGUGGCUAGGCAAAUAUACGAACUACACAGUUAACUUAUACCGUGACGACAUACGACAGUUCCGAGACCGAAAUACAGGACAACAGGGCCUUUUUUAAGGAUUUUCCCGUGGGGGGUAUUUUUUGAAAAGGGAUCUUAGAUAAUAUAUUAGAGGGGGAUAGCAAUGGCCGACGGCCAUGUGUGUGGCCGACAUACUCCCCCACGGAAAAUGUUUUAAAUUUGAACCUUUCAAAUACCAUUUCCUGCUUUAUGAGCGUCUAAAUUUGCUCUAAAAUUUAUGCUAAUUAUACUUGUAUUUGAAAUAAAAGAAGGAAAAAUGCAGAUAAAAUAAAAGAAAUAUUAACAAUAAUUUAUCCAAUACUUAAUAAUAUUAGAGGGGGAUAGCAAUGGCCGGGCCAUGUGUGUGGCCGACAUACUCCCCCACGGAAAAUGUUUUAAAUUUGAACCUUUCAAAUACCAUUUCCUGCUUUAUGAGCGUCUAAAUUUGCCGAAUGAAUAGGGGGAUCUGGAGGCAUUAACUCCCCCAGAAAAUUUUUGAAAUUUCAAGCCCAAAAAUGCCAUUUCCUGCCGUCUGAGCAUCUAAAUUUGCU